CCGCGUGGAGGAAGAAGGUCUUCGGAUUGUAAACUCCUGUUGUUGAGGAAGAUAAUGACGGUACUCAACAAGGAAGUGACGGCUAACUACGUGCCAGCAGCCGCGGUAAAACGUAGGUCACAAGCGUUGUCCGGAAUUACUGGGUGUAAAGGGAGCGCAGGCGGGAAGACAAGUUGGAAGUGAAAUCCAUGGGCUCAACCCAUGAACUGCUUUCAAAACUGUUUUUCUUGAGUAGUGCAGAGGUAGGCGGAAUUCCCGGUGUAGCGGUGGAAUGCGUAGAUAUCGGGAGGAACACCAGUGGCGAAGGCGGCCUACUGGGCACCAACUGACGCUGAGGCUCGAAAGUGUGGGUAGCAAACAGGAUUAGAUACCCUGGUAGUCCACACCGUAAACGAUGAUUACUAGGUGUUGGAGGAUUGACCCCUUCAGUGCCGCAG
rnacentral:rRNA from 1 species